rnacentral:tRNA from 1 species
AGGGGAUUCGCCAAGUGGUAAGGCACUAGAUUUUGAUUCUAGCAUUCGGUGGUUCGAAUCCAUCAUCCCCUGCCA